UGUCGUGAGAUGUUGGGUUAAGUCCCGCACCGAGCGCGACCCUUAAGCUUAGUUGCCAGCAUUAAGUUGGGCACUCUAAGUUGACUGCCGGUGACAAACCGGAGGAAGGUGGGGAUGACGUCAAAUCAUCAUGCCCCUUAUGAUUUGGGCUACACACGUGCUACAAUGGACAAUACAAAGGGCAGCGAAACCGCGAGGUCAAGCAAAUCCCAUAAAGUUGUUCUCAGUUCGGAUUGUAGUCUGCAACUCGACUACAUGAAGCUGGAAUCGCUAGUAAUCGUAGAUCAGCAUGCUACGGUGAAUACGUUCCCGGGUCUUGUACACACCGCCCGUCACACCACGAGAGUUUGUAACACCCGAAGCCGGUGGAGUAACCUUUUAGGAGCUAGCCGUCGAAGGUGGGACAAAUGAUUGGGGUGAAGUCGUAACAAGGAAGCCGUAUCGGAAGG
rnacentral:rRNA from 1 species